UCCGCGAUUGCUAUGAGAAACUAAUACCGGCAAAAUUUGCAGCUCCAAACUUCACCAAAAUGCAAAUAGGCCUAAAAUAUCCCUCUACUAUGCGAAAAAGAUCAUUUAUACCUGUCAUUAUACUAUUCCUCUACCAUUAUCCAUGAUGUGAUAGAAUCGGAUCAAUAAUAUCCCUCCGCCAUUAGGAACCUCCACCAUGGACAAUCCAUCCUGCGUGGUAUGAUAUUUUGUUGAGGUGGAUGCCAUGUGGCAUGCCACCUCACUGUCUCACCCCUAUUUUAUCCCUUCUCCCAUUUCUUCCUCCAAUACUACCUCCUCAUUAACCUAAUCACCACCAUAAUUUUUAUCAACCACAAUAUUCUCUAUAAACCCAGUCAUCAUCACCAUGUCAAAAUUAAUUAGCGCGGACAUUUUGACAAAAACUUGGGAGUCCCUUCCAAAAUUUCAAGCAAAUAAAUAUGGUGAAGUCCUAUAUGCAUCACCAUAAUCCACUGCGUCAGUUUUACACUACCAAUCUAUCACCAAAAUGUACUGCCUAACUCACAACUACAUCCACAAAUCCAUUUAUGGAAUAAUAUCAAUAAAUCGUAGCAUAAUUCCUUACAAAAUAAAAUUCAUUCAUGAAUGGCUCAAAAUCCUCAAAUAACCUAAUUUUAUCUCUGUUAAACUUAGAUAGAUUCCAAUACUAGAAUCGGAGAAAAUCAAAUGUCUACAAUCAAUUGGAAUCACGUGGUUUAUUUUUUGGACAGAUAGCAGUGAAGAAGAUAGGGCAACGAAAAUAGGGAAGUUGUUGAUAUGAGAACCAAAGUUCAUACCUAGUGGGCACAAAUUACACAGAGUUUAACAACUGAGACAAUGUCACAUUAUUUGUUGCGAAACAUGGGUCAAAGUUUGAGUUGAAAAAAAUUAAUUUUGAGUAUUAAUAUCGGUAAGAUUUAGUGAAAAAGAAUUGGGUGGUGGAGAUGAAAAGAAGAAAAAAAGGGUUUGUCAAUUUUGAUAAAAUGAAGGGUGAAUGAAUU
rnacentral:lncRNA from 1 species